ACGCGUCUCCUCAGCGGCGCAUGUCUGCGGAUCCCGCGGCAGGAGCGUGUGGAUGUUCGACAGCUGCGCUCACAAAAACACACGUAAAGCACAGGGGCCCUCUGAGCCAUUGGGCCCAUGGACCAGUCCCUUUGGAUAAUCAAUUCAUGACUCAACCAGAUAGAAAACUGAAAUGAUAAAGAUCUAAAGAUAAUCUUCUACAGAGGCUCCUCUGAUUUAGAGCUCAGAAAAUGUUGGACCUGUCGUUUGCAUCCAUGCUAGUUUGAG